AGGACAUCAAGCCAGGCUUGGUCUUGGGCGCGGUCUGACCGACCCGCCUGUAACUGUCAGCGGCAACCGUUCGGUCCCUAGGCGUAGCAAAAAACUAUUCGUCUCUGGGGCCCGCGGGUGGUCGUCUCAAGACUCUGGCCCUCUGGGCCACUAAA
rnacentral:misc_RNA from 1 species